GGCCCUGUGGCCUAAUGGCAAGGCGUCGGACUUCGGAUCCGAAGAUUGAGCGUUCGAGUCGCUUCAGGGUCA